UACAGAGGUCUCAAGCGUUGUUCGGAUUCAUUGGGCGUAAAGAGCUUGUAGGCGGUUUGUCGCGUCUGCUGUGAAAUUUCGGGGCUCAACCCCGAACUUGCAGUGGGUACGGGCAGACUAGAGUGUGGUAGGGGAGACUGGAAUUCCUGGUGUAGCGGUGAAAUGCGCAGAUAUCAGGAGGAACACCGAUGGCGAAGGCAGGUCUCUGGGCCACUACUGACGCUGAGAAGCGAAAGCAUGGGGAGCGAACAGG
rnacentral:rRNA from 1 species